rnacentral:misc_RNA from 1 species
AUGUAUCAAAUGCCUAUUUGAAUGAAGGAUUAUUGAGAGCCUUGCUACUAAAUAUUUAAACUUUCCCUAAUAUUAUGAUUGUAAUACAUUUUAAGAGCUAAUUACUUAAUGCUAAUCAUCAAACAUUGUGGAGCAUAAUGAUAAUAAUUUUUUUAAGAAACUGUCAGGAGUACUAAAUCAAGUGAGCUAAGCAGAUUACAGGUCUAUGAACAUGUACAAUUCAGGGUGAACUCAGAAUGAAGCAAAAAAGCAUCUGGAAGUGCCGGAAGGAUCAGAAACGUGAGUAAACGAAUUAAUCUUUUGUUUUAAGAAAACAAAUUAUUAUUCCAUCAUUAUUGGUCCGAGUUUCAAUUUAAGGCUAAAGGGGUCCAUCUGCAUAUGCCAACAAAUGUUGCCAUAGGAAAGCACAAACGUCUUUUUCUUUGCUUGCUCAGGUAGCCCCAUCUGAUACCGCACCAAAUCCUGUCUUGAUUCAUUUUGCAUUAACCCCUUCUUCACAGCAUACGUAAACCGCACAUUUAAGCCCCCAACAUCUUUUUUCACCAAGAACAAAAAAACCCACUUCCUCAAUACUCAAAUCCAAAGAUCACCAUGGGAGAGGUGGAUCCAGCCUUCGUUCAAGAGCUAGAACACAGGCCAAAACAGGGAAUUAUUGAAGCCGAAGGUAUACCCAUAAUUGAUCUCUCCAUACUAAGCUCUUCUGAUGCCACCCCAGAUCACUCUCAAGAACUUGAGGGUCUUGUUAAGCAGGUAGGCAACGCAUGCAGGGAUUGGGGGUUUUUUCAACUGAUAAAUCAUGGGGUGUCACUGGAAAAGCGAGAAAAGAUUUUCAAUGCAUCAGGGAAAUUUUUUGCUCAGCCUCUUGAGGAGAAAAACAAGAUUAGGAGAGAUGAAAAGAGAGUGUUGGGUUAUUAUGACACAGAGCAUACCAAGAAUGUAAGGGACUGGAAAGAAGUGUUUGAUUUUGCUGUGCAGAAUCCAACUAUUGUUCCUGCUUCAUAUGAGCCUGAUGAUAAGGAAGUUACUGAAUGGUACAAUCAAUGGCCUGAGUACCCCCCUGAACUAAGGGAAGUGUGUGAAGAAUAUGCUAAAGAAAUGGAAAAACUAGGUUUCAAGUUGCUGGAGCUGAUUGCCCUCAGUCUAGGCCUGAAGGCAGAUAGGUUCCAUGGAUUCUUUGAAGACCAAACCACCUUCAUUAGACUCAACCACUAUCCACCAUGCCCUGUUCCUGACCUAGCUCUUGGCGUUGGUCGACACAAGGAUGCUGUUGCCUUGACCAUACUUGCCCAAGAUGAUGUGGGUGGACUAGAAGUGAAAAGCAAAUCUGAUGGGGAGUGGACUUGGGUCACCCCAACCCCAAAUUCUUACAUUAUUAAUGUUGGUGACAUCAUUCAGGUAACAAUCAUUACAUUGUAUUACCCUCCAUCAGAAUAGACAUUGGUAUUAAGUUGCUAAUUGAUUGGCAUGUAUUUGAAUUAUUGGACCUAGAAUGCAACUUAUGGGACAAUAAAGUGCUCACUUUCUUAUGAUCUAAUAGAAUCUUGUUAUUGUUUGUGCAGGUAUGGAGCAAUGAUGCAUACGAGAGUGUUGAGCAUAGAGUGAAGGUGAAUCCUGAGAAGGAAAGAUUUUCUGUUCCAUACUUCUUGAACCCAGCACACUACACCUGGGUGAAGCCUUUGGAGGAAAUAGCAAAUGAGCAAAACCCUGCUAAAUAUAGGCCUUAUAAUUUGGGGAAAUUUUUGGUCACAAGAAAGCGUAGUAAUUUUAAGAAGCUUGAUGUUGAGAACAUCCAAAUCUCUCAUUUCAGGGUUUCAGAUUUGUCCGACAAAUUAGAGGGAGCACUGUCCAUCAAUACUUAACAAUAGAUUUCUCCCUUAAAUUGUCAUUAUUUCUCCUGUGUAUAAAUAAAUCAGAAAAGGGUUUGGACUCCUGGGGACUUGACGCAUCUCAGUAGUAUUGUGUAUGAAUAAUGGAAUUGGCUUUUCGAAGGCUGUGGAGCUAUGAAUGCCACCUUAUUAGAAAUACUGUGUCUAAAAAUAAUUAAAUUUGUUAUAAAUAAAAUUAAUAGUCUCGCAACUUUUACCUUAUGAUUACUUUGUUAUAUGGAGA